rnacentral:rRNA from 1 species
AUGAGUGUCCUGAAGAAGAAAUUGUAUACUCCCUUUGGUCGGAAGGCGGCGGGGGAAGGAAGGGGACACUGGGCAGGAUCUUUCAGCAGCGAAUUCCCCAUACAGAUAGAGGCGCCUAUCAAAAAGAUACUCCGAAGGCUUCGGGAUCGAGGUCUCAUUAGCCGAAGAAGACCCAGGCCAAUCCACGUGGCCUCUUUGACCAACGUCAGCGACAGACACAUAGUAAAUUGGUCUGCGGGCAUCGCGAUAAGUCCUCUGUCCUACUACAGGUGCUGCGACAACCUUUACCAAGUCCGAACGAUUGUCAACUACCAGAUCCGCUGGUCCGCUAUAUUCACCCUAGCCCACAAGCACAAAUCUUCGGCGCGGAAUAUAAUCCUAAAGUACCCCAAAGACUCAAAUAUAGUCAAUCAAGAAGGUGGUAAGACCCUUGCUGAGUUCCCAAACAGCAUAGAGCUUGGGAAGCUCGGACUCGGUCAAGAUCCGAACAACGACGGAGCACUCAACUACAUGUUUAAUAAGUAG